AAAAGCCAUUGAAGUCUUUAAAUCUCCAUCUACUUUGGCUUCUAAACAACAGAUUCAGUCUCUGCAGACAUUUUUCUUCCACAGAGCCCACAGAGAAAAGCCAGUUAUUUCAAGAGAAAGGAAUGCAUUAGUGUCUGCACUCCGUAGUUAUUCAUUAAUAUUUUUCUUGCACUGCUUCCAUAGUUCUAAACACCCUAUACUUCAUGAAAGAAGAAAAAAAAAAAAAAAAAAAAAGCCAAGGAAAACCAUUAGGCUUUUCAUUUUUUCAUUCCUAAAGCACCAGACUUCAAGACUAGGACACGUUUCCAUUGACUACUGUGGAAGAAAGAUGGAGCUGGGCCAGCAGUGCCCACAUCACCACAACAUUAACAGCCCUCUGAAAAGGGGACGGUCACGUCGGGACCUCUGGAGCCCGUGCUUUAUGCAGGGAUGUGUGAUGUGCAACCAGCAGCUCCCCAGCCCGUCACAGCAACAAGCCCAGAAGAUACCUUUGGGGUCACAAUACAGCCAGAAGCCAGGGCCUCUGCGCCACUGAGUCAUACCCCUUCUGUCUGCAUGACUUCCAUCACAAACUGCAUAUCAGCUGCUUCCUGGGCUACCCAAGCUAGUGACAACCCAGCUGGCAUCCAGUCCUGUCAUUCACUCCCUGUCCCUUUACAGAGCUUCAUUCUGCUCCACAUAAUGGCCAAGAUUCAAAUCAUCCACACGGACUCCUGCUCCUCUGCAAUGAAGGCAAGGUUCCCAGAGUUCUCAAAAGCUACCAAAGUAUUUCAGUUCUCAGUGCUUACACUCAUCAAGAGAAGAAAAACAUCACAUACUCUCUUCCUCUAUUUUCUUUUCCUUGUCAUUGAGCCCCAUCUCUCUAAAAGGAGGAAUCCCAGUUCCUGUUCUUUCCUAGGGACAGGAACAGAAGCUCUCACAGGCAGAACCGAAGAAAAAAAUUAGGGUAAAUCCUGUUCUUAGUGAGCACUUCAAGUCCCACAGUACCACUAGCAUGGCUGGGGGGAGCGUGCAUUUGUUUUGCCACGCCCUGGAAAGCAGGAUGGGAAAUGAAAUCUCCUGUCUCAUGGUACAGCUAUUAUAAGCACAGGCUCUGAUGAGCUGUUACCACAAACACAGCAGGAAAGAGAAGAGAAGCAAAAAUGAGUAAGGGUGGCUUUGUGAGAGUUUAUAUAUAUAAACUACCUCUCUCUAACAUAUAUAUACAUAUAUAUUACACUUUUAUGUAUUUACAUUUUAUAUAUAACAUUUCUCCCCUUGUUCUUAGGAUAAGUAGUCAUCCUCCCCAAAACACCAACAGAUUAAAUCCAAACACUAGAUCAAAACCGCAGGAGCUUGGCAGAGCUAGUUUGCUGACAUCUUCCCAUGCUUUUACUCUGACGAGAAGAGUACCUGAGAAGAGCACACUUCAGACUUCUGUGGUCAACGGGAGCUCCCGCAGAGUUGGAUGUAUCUCAAAUUAUGAAGCUUGGGGAACACUGGACAAUGCUUAGCAUGAAGCUGAGAGGAGGCGGCAAGCAGCAAGUCAUGGAAGACAGGAACACAGAUCUGCCCUACUGCUUUAGACCACGAAUGAACUUCUGUAGAAGGUUUCCAAGGAAAAGAGUCAGAUGUCUGCAGAAAGCCAUUACCUGCCAGCUAAGUGCUAUCUGUUCUUCUGAGUCCACAUAAAUACCAUUCAGUGUUACAACAGGAGCAGGGCAGACAACCGUCCUUCCAAAAUAAAUAAAUAAAUAAAUAUUGUA